GAGAGUGCAAUAGUUGUGUGUUUGCCUCCAAACCUUGAAGGGCAGUCAACACCUUCUCCUCAAAGGCUGUAUUUCUUUGGGUUGGAAGAGGAGGAUGCUGAAAUUGGGUUGAGGGACGGUAGGGAUGAAAAUUCUGAGGGUUUUGAAAAUUUUGGGAGAAGGGUUGGGAGGUAUUAGAAGCUUGCUGCCUCCAAGAAAAAUUUGGAUGAUUCCGCCAUCCCGGAUUAUAUGUAUUGGAAAAUGGAUCAUUACCCGGUUUGGGCUGUAUUUGGGCAGCAUUGAUGUGUUCUUGCACGAGUUCGGAAUAUUGGGGUGCUGAGGGGCACUCAUGAAUUGGAUGCGAUGGG
rnacentral:lncRNA from 1 species